rnacentral:misc_RNA from 1 species
AAAUGCGAUAAGUAAUGUGAAUUGCAGAAUUCAGUGAAUCAUCGAAUCUUUGAACGCACCUUGCGCUCCUUGGUAUUCCUUGGAGCAUGCCUGUUUGAGUAUCAUGAAAUCUUCAAAGUAAAUCUUUUGUUAACUCAAUUGGUUUCUACUUGGUAUUGGAGGUCUUUUCAGCUUCACACCUGCUCCUCUUUGUUCAUUAGCUGGAUCUCAGUGUUAUGCUUGGUUCCACUCGGCGUGAUAAGUUAUCUAUCGCUGAGGACACUGUAAAAGGUGGCCAAGGUAAAUGCAGAUGAACCGCUUCUAAUAGUCCAUUGACUUGGACAAUACUUUUAUGAUCUGAUCUCAAAUCAGGUAGGACUACCCGCUGAACUUAAGC